GGUCGCUUUGCUGCUAUCGCGUGGUCGUCCGGAUUUUUUGCAGUCCGGAUAUGGGGUUCUUAGCAAACGCUAAGAUACUGCAACGUGUUUCCAUGCGAGGCUACGCGGAGUAAACCCGCGAGCGGAAGGGGAGCUGCUUCAGAGUAAGCCGUGCAUCGUGCAGCGAGAGAGGCGGUCCUGCAGGGGAAGAACCGGAGACGUGGUUAGAGAUGUGGAGAAUGGAGCACCGAUUGUCAGCAAACGUGACCCGAUGAGACUCCAAGGGCCAGAGACGAAGGGCUGCGGGCAUUUCUUGCCGCCACGAUCACUGACCCAACAGCAAGAUUCCAUCGGUAUUAAAACACUGACGAGAGACCCCUUUCAAAGGUGUUAAAGGAAAUAUAAACCAGAA